rnacentral:rRNA from 1 species
GAUGAACGCUGGCGGCGUGCCUAAUACAUGCAAGUCGAGCGAACAGACGAGGAGCUUGCUCCUCUGACGUUAGCGGCGGACGGGUGAGUAACACGUGGAUAACCUACCUAUAAGACUGGGAUAACUUCGGGAAACCGGAGCUAAUACCGGAUAAUAUAUUAAACCGCAUGGUUCAAUAGUGAAAGACGGUUUUGCUGUCACUUAUAGAUGGAUCCGCGCCGCAUUAGCUAGUUGGUAAGGUAACGGCUUACCAAGGCAACGAUGCGUAGCCGACCUGAGAGGGUGACCGGCCAAACGGGAACUGAGACACGGUCCAAACUCCUACGGGGGGCAGCGGUAGGGAAUCUUCCGCAAUGGGCGAAAGCCUGACGGAGCAACGCCGCGUGGGUGAUGAAGGUCUUCGGAUCGUAAAACUCUGUGAUUAGGGAAGAAAAAAUGUGUAAGUAACUAUGCACGUCUUGACGGUACCUAAUCAGAAAGCCACGGCUAACUACGUG